AGCAACCUGCCCCUGACUCUGGGAUAAGCGGUGGAAACGCCGUCUAAUACCGGAUACGACCCGCCACCUCAUGGUGGAGGGUGGAAAGUUUUUCGGUCAGGGAUGGGCUCGCGGCCUAUCAGCUUGUUGGUGGGGUAACGGCCUACCAAGGCGAUUACGGGUAGCCGGCCUGAGAGGGCGACCGGCCACACUGGGACUGAGACACGGCCCAGACUCCUGCGGGAGGCAGCAGUGGGGAAUAUUGCGCAAUGGGCGAAAGCCUGACGCAGCGACGCCGCGUGGGGGAUGACGGCCUUCGGGUUGUAAACCUCUUUUACCACCAACGCAGGCUCGAAGUUCUCUUCGGGUUGACGGUAGGUGGGGAAUAAGGACCGGCUAACUACGUGCCAGCAGCCGCGGUAAUACGUAGGGUCCGAGCGUUGUCCGGAAUUAUUGGGCGUAAAGAGCUCGUAGGCGGCGUGUCACGUCUGCUGUGAAAGACCGGGGCUUAACUCCGGUUCUGCAGUGGAUACGGGCAUGCUAGAGGUAGGUAGGGGAGACUGGAAUUCCUGGUGUAGCGGUGAAAUGCGCAGAUAUCAGGAGGAACACCGGUGGCGAAGGCGGGUCUCUGGGCCUUACCUGACGCUGAGGAGCGAAAGCAUGGGGAGCGAACAGGAUUAGAUACCCUGGUAGUCCAUGCCGUAAACGUUGGGCGCU
rnacentral:rRNA from 1 species